rnacentral:rRNA from 1 species
CAGCACCGAAUCUCUAUCGCCUCGAGCGCUAGCGAAAUGUGGUGUUUAGGAGGGUCCGUAAUUCCGAGGCUCGCCUCGCCGAGUCCAAGUCCUUCUUGAACGGGGCCACGGUCCGUAGAGGGUGCCAGACCCGUAGCGGCCGGUGGCGUCCUCGGUUGGGCCUCUCCUUAGAGUCGGGUUGCUUGAGAGUGCAGCCUAAAGUGGGUGGUAAACUCCAUCUAAGGCUAAAUAUUACCACGAGACCGAUAGCGAACAAGUACCGUGAGGGAAAGUUGAAAAGAACUUUGAAGAGAGAGUUCAAUAGUACGUGAAAUCGUUCAGGGGUAAACGGGGAAGACUUGAAAAUCCGAAAAGAGAGAUUCACGUCUUCCGCCGGCCUCGUCAAGCCCGUCCGCGGAUGGUCGUACUCCCUCGCUCUGGCUUCGGUCCGGGCGCUGGUGGGUCGGCCGACCGGUCGGGCGCGGCGGGGCCGCGGAGGACCGCACUUCUCUCUCAGUAGGACGUCGCGACCCGUUCGGAGGCAGGCCUGAUGCCCAGCCAGAAGUCUCGAGCCAGCGGUGGUCUUCGGAUCCUCGCCCUCGAGUCGGUUGAGGCAGGGCGGCGUUACGGACGGUAGUUAAUGACGGUGUCGAACCGCUCUCCGGAGCGCCUGUGACCAUUUCCGAGUCGGUCGUCGAGCGCGGCUGCGGGCCUCCCGGGGCCCGCGCCGCUUCGCGUUCGGCUGUCGGGGAGUGGUUCUUAGGCCGGUUCACAGCACCUGUCGGCGACGCCGCAGUUUCGAGCUCUUACCCGGCCCGUCUUGAAACACGGACCAAGGAGUCCAACGUGUGCGCGAGUCGUUGGGUGAGAAACCCAAUGGCGUAAUUAAGGUGAAGCGAAGUUCCUUUGCUAGGGAGGAGGAGGGUCCGCCCUUCCCGGGCGACUCUCCGCACUCCCGGGGCGUCUCUUGCUCAUUGCGAGCUGAGGCGCACCUAGAGCGUACACGUUGGGACCCGAAAGAUGGUGAACUAUGCCUGGCCAGGACGAAGCCAGGGGAAACCCUGGUGGAGGUCUGGAGCGCUUCUGACGUGCAAAUCGAUCGUCGGAGCUGGGUAUAGGGGCGAAAGACUAAUCGAACCAUCUAGUAGCUGGUUCCCUCCGAAGUUUCCCUCAGGAUAGCUGGCGCCCAGGUGAGACGAGUCUCAUCUGGUAAAGCGAAUGAUUAGAGGCCUUGGGGUCGAAACGACCUCAACCUAUUCUCAAACUUUAAAUGGAUGAGAACCCCGGCUUGCUUGGGUUGGUGAAGCCGGGGCUCGGAUCCGGGUGCCAAGUGGGCCAAUUUUGGUAAGCAGAACUGGCGCUGUGGGAUGAACCAAACGCGGAGUUAAGGCGCCAAAAUCGACGCUCAUCAGACACCAUGAAAGGCGUUGGUUGCUUAAGACAGCAGGACGGUGGCCAUGGAAGUCGGAAUCCGCUAAGGAGUGUGUAACAACUCACCUGCCGAAGCAACUAGCCCUGAAAAUGGAUGGCGCUGUAGCGUCGUGCCUAUACUCCGCCGCCAACGGCAAACUCGGCGCGGUCUCCUAGAGGGACCGGUCGCUGUUACGCCUUGGUGAGUAGGAGGGCCGCGGCGAUGUGCGUAGAAGGGUCUAGGCGUGAGCCUGCCUGGAGCCGUCGCCGGCGCAGAUCUUGGUGGUAGUAGCAAAUACUCCAGCGAGGCCCUGGAGGACUGAUGUGGAGAAGGGUUUCUUGUGAACAGCCGUUGCACAAGAGUCAGUCGGUCCUAAGCCCUAGGAGAAAUCCGAUGCCGAUGGGUGCCGUUACCUGUUCUCAUUCCGCGCUGCGUCAAAGCGGCGCGGAUGUGUAGGGUCUUCGGUGGCGCCCUAGGUUGGGCGAAAGGGAAUCCGGUUCCUAUUCCGGAACCUGGCAGCGGAACCGUUUCCAGUCGUGCCCUCUCACGAGAGCUCGUCGGGGUAACCCAAAAGGACCCGGAGACGCCGUCGGGAGAUCCAGGGAGAGUUGUCUCUUCUCUAUAAGCGUUCGAGUUCCCUGGAAACCUCUAGCAGGGAGAUAGGGUUUGGAGCGCGAAGAGCACCGCAGUUACGGCGGUGUCUGGAUCUUCCCCUCGGACCUUGAAAAUCCGGGUGAGGGCUACGAGGAACACCGCGCCAGACCGUACCCAUAUCCGCAGCAGGUCUCCAAGGUCAACAGCCUCUAGUCGUUAGAAUAAUGUAGGUAAGGGAAGUCGGCAAACUGGAUCCGUAACCUUGGGAUAAGGAUUGGCUCUGAGGAUCGUGGUGUGCCGGGCUUGGUUGGGAAGUGGAGCGGUGUCAACGAUCCGGGCCUGGGCGAGGAGAGUGGCGCAUCCGCGUUUAUGAUCCUCUGCUCGGUCCCGCGACUUGGCCACCCACGGAUCUUCCUUGCUGCGAGCUGCCGGCUGCCUAGUCACUGGCUUCGGCCGGAGGACGGGCCGGCUGUCUCUUCGGCCACCGAUUAACGGUCAGCUCAGAACUGGCACUGA